rnacentral:rRNA from 1 species
UAUCUCUGUAGAGUCUGCAUAUCAAUAAGCGGAGGAAAAGAGACUAACAAGGAUUCCCUUAGUAACGGCGAGUGAAGCGGGAAGAGCUCAAAUUUGAAAUCUUCAAGGUUCUACCUUGACGAAUUGUAGUUUAUAGAAGUGUUUUCUGUUAGUAGAGUGGCAAAAGUUCUUUGGAAUAGGACAUCAUAGAGGGUGAGAAUCCCGUAUUUGGUCAUUCUUUCUAGCUUUGUGAUACACUUUCAACGAGUCGGAUUGUUUGGGAAUGCAGUCCAAAAUGGGUGGUAAAUUUCAUCUAAAGCUAAAUAUUGGCGAGAGACCGAUAGCGAACAAGUACCGUGAGGGAAAGAUGAAAAGAACUUUGAAAAGAGAGUUAAACAGUACGUGAAAUUGUCAAAAGGGAAGCGUUUGACACCAGUGUUGUUUUUCCGAAAAUCAAUUACGAAUGUUUUGUUUUUGAGAAGUUAUGACUUCAUCGGCUUGCUUCUCUCUUUACGAAACUUUCUUAAUGCACUUUUCGGUUAACAAGUCAACAUCAAUUUCUUUUGUUGUAAAAGGGUAUGAGGAAGGUGGCUUUCUUUUCGGAGAAAGUGUUUAUAGCCUUUGACUUCUGCAAUCGGAGAGAUUGAGGUCUGCAGCGUAGAUCCUUCGGGGUUAGAUGCAUUUGUGCUAAGUUAUAGCUUUCAUAGACAACUUGUUGACUAUGAUUUAGUCAUUGUAGCUUACUCGCUUAUGCUAUUUUACCUACGCUUAGGAUGUUGAUGUGAUACUGCGAGC